UUUUAUAUAGUAUAAUAUAUUACAUUUUAUUUCCAAUAAAAUAAUUUAAUUAAAUUAAUAUAAAUA
rnacentral:tRNA from 1 species